CCUACGGGUGGCAGCAGUCGAGAAUCAUUCACAAUGGGGGAAACCCUGAUGGUGCGACGCCGCGUGGGGGAAUGAAGGUCUUCGGUUUGUAAACCCCUGUCAUGUGGGAGCAAAUUAAAAAGAUAGUACCACAAGAGGAAGAGACGGCUAACUCUGUGCCAGCAGCCGCGGUAAUACAGAGGUCGCAAGCGAUGUUCGGAAUGACUGGGCGUAAAGCGUGCGUAGGCUGUUUCUUAAGUCGUGUGUGAAAGGCGUGGGCUCAACCCGAGGACGGCACAUGAUACUGCGAGACUCGAGUAAUGGAGAGGAGAGCGGAAUUCUCGGUGUAGCAGUGAAAUGCGUAGAUAUCGAGAGGAACACUCGUGGCGAAGGCGGGUUCCUGGACAUUAACUGACGCUGAGGCACGAAGGCCAGGGGAGCGAAAGGGAUUAGAUACCCUUGUAGUC
rnacentral:rRNA from 1 species